AUUGAACGCUGGCGGAAUGCUUUACACAUGCAAGUCGAACGGCAGCACGGGGGCGAACCCUCGGUGGCGAGUGGCGAACGGGUGAGUAAUACAUCGGAACGUGCCCAGUCGUGGGGGAGUAACUACGCGAAAGCGUAGCUAAUACCGCAUACGAUCUACGGAUGAAAGCGGGGGACCGUAAGGCCUCGCGCGAUUGGAGCGGCCGAUGGCAGAUUAGGUAGUUGGUGGGGUAAAGG
rnacentral:rRNA from 1 species